GACGUAGGUGGCGAACGUUAUCCGGAAUCAUUGGGCGUAAAGGGUGCGUAGAUGGCAUGUUAAGUUAUUAGUGGGAAAUCGAGGCUCAACCUCGUGGAAGCUGGUAAUACUGUUUUGCUUGAGUGCAGGAGAGGUUAACGGAACUCCAUGUGGAGCGGUAAAAUGCGUAGAUAUAUGGAAGAACAUCAAUAACGGCGAAGGCAGUUAACUAUUCUGCUACUGACAUUGAGGCACGAAAGCGUGGGGAGCAAAACGG
rnacentral:rRNA from 1 species